rnacentral:tRNA from 1 species
GGGCCUGUAGUUCACCGGUAGAAUAUAUCCAUGGCAUGGAUGAGAAGAGGGUUCAAUUCCCUCCAGGUCCACAA